UUGCGCAGGCGCCCACCGCUCCGCCCUCCCGGCUCGGGUCCCUCCGGGCUCUGGGUUGCGCAGGCGCUUUGCCUUUCGGCCCUUCUCCAACGACGCCCAUGCAGCCAGUACGCUGGCGUCAGGUCUUGUGCUGGAGCCUGUAGAGGUGUGUGCACCUGGAGGCCCCGCAGGUGAAGCGGGAUGAUACCUAGAGUCCUCUAGCUCAAAGGCUCUCCUCAGCGCGGAGGUAAUACAUUUGCAUAUUUCAAAAUUCAGAAGGCACUAUGUCAACCCCAACACCACUCCUGUAGUUCUCCAGAUGCAACCAAGAAAGUGCGUACUAUUUCUGGACUGAAUGAACAUUCUUGAACAUAACAGAAAUACUCUUAAUGAGCAAAAGCCACAAAAAUAGAUUUUUUACCAUUGAAAUUCCAAAGCCGAAGAGCCAUCUUCCACCAAGCAGGAGGGUGCUGAGCAGACGUUCCCUGAACAGCAACCCGACACUGGACAUGGAGGACACCCGAUGCAACGCCCAAGGCUGGAAAGGGCAGAGAUGCAAAUCUGCUCCCAAAAAGAGCUUUUUGGGGCUGUUCUCAUGUUUGCCGCCCUUCUGAGUAGCCUUCUCGAAAUGUGCUGAAGAAAUAUAUUUUGGGGUGAACGAAAUUCUGGUUUCCUUCAAUAACAAGAAAUACACAUUUUGGUCUUCAUCCCAAUUCCUGGCACGCAGCUCCUAAGUGGGUUUUUAACACAAGGGACUCCAUUUGGACUCUGACAACUUUCACAUCAAUGACACAUCACAGUAGAGACCUGGGAAGAGCUGGGUUGACCCAGAUGAAGGGAUUUCCAAUGCGGCUUCCCUGAAGGCUUCCAUAAUAUUCACUGGGUCUGGCUCUGUUACCCAGGCAGGAGUGGGACGGUAUGAUCACAGAGGCUCACUCCAGCCUCAAACUCCUGGCCUCAAGCAAUCCUCCUGUCUCAGAUACCAGUGUGCUGGGACGACAGGUAUGAGCCACCGCGCCCGGCCAGGGUAAAGUUUUGAACCCAAAGCUCAGCUAUACAUAAAUGAUGCUAUGUUUAUAGGAAAACCUGGGGCACUUCAGGGUUUUAGAAAGAUCUGGAGGAAAGAAACACAAGCCCGUUGAGAAAACCACCCUGGGGAGGAAGUAAUCUUAAAUUGUCACCAGGCCUUGCCUGUCACAGCAGCCAGGGCAGGAGAAGGGACCAGGGCGAGGGAGAGGUACCUACGUCAGAGAUGUCAGGGCUGGAGCCACUGUCCGCCAGGCCACUCCGGGCCUUGGGCUGCCAGUCAGAGCCAGGCCGACCUGGGCAUGGAGCAAAUGGGCAGCAAGAGGCAAGACCCCCAGGCAGGCAGGGGCCCUCCCAGGAGCUUGGUGGAGAAGGAGGAGGCCCAAGGGCCAUAGCUAAGGGGCCUGGAGGGGUCAGCAAGGGGCGUUCCUGCCUCUUUUCCUCCCUCCCGAAAGCUAUAAGGAGAGUGCUCAUGGGCAGAGGCGGUGGGCUCGAGCCGGGGAGGGACCCCCCUUGCAGGGUCUCUGCCUGGCCGGUGGGUGGAAUUAGGAGCUUCAGGGUGGCUGUGAAUUGGAAGAGAUUGGCAUGGUCCACAGGAAGGCGAGGCCACGUGGGGUGUGUCUGUCCCAGGGGCUCCCUGCUGUAGCCCUGGCCGAGGGCAGCGACAGCCCCCUGCUCUCUGUGUGGUAAGUCGACAUCCUGGGCCCCCUCCGAGGGGGUCACAAACACGGAACAGCACGGGCGGGUUCCAUGUCAAGGGCUCAGAAGUCACUGUGUAAGUCACCUCCCGCUGCCGGGACAAAAUGCCACAGCUUGGCUUGGACAGCAGACACUUACUCUCCACAGUCGUGGAGGCCAGAAGGUGCUGUCGGAGUUGGUUUCUCCUGAGGCCCCUCUUCCUGGCUGGCAGAUGCCUCCUCCUUGCUGUGUCCUUAGGUGGCCUUUUUCCUGUGCACAUGCAGAGAGGGCGCCCCCUGGUGUCUCUUCUCGUAAGCACACCAGUCCUGUUGGAUUAGGGCCCUACCCUCAAUGACCUCAUCCUGAAUUACCGCCUUAAAGACCCGCGUCCAACUACACCGACCUGGGGGGUUAGGGGUCAUGCAGGAACCGGGGUGGGGGCACAGUUCAGUCAUCGUAGCCACAGAAUCAUUUCCAGGUAGAGCCUGGGAAAUGCCAAGGAGGUCAGGAAGGAGUGAGGACAGAGCGCGGGCAAUGCCAGUGGGCAGCAGUGGGACUGGCCACGACCCCAUGGCCCCAGUGUGGCUUGGCCAGGAGGAGGCCUGGCUGGGUGGAGGCCAGGGAACAGCUUGCUGGGGUGGACAGGGCUCCUGUGGCCUGCACCCCCCGACUGGGAGCCCAGGAGUCUUUUCCUGGCCCAGAUGAAAGAGGCCUGCUUGGGAAACGUGGCUCACAGUGUCUGUCUAAUGGAGAACACGGA